rnacentral:rRNA from 1 species
GACGAACGCUGGCGGCGUGCCUAAUACAUGCAAGUCGAGCGGAAUGAAGAAGAAGCUUGCUUCUUCCGAUUUUAGCGCGGACGGGUGAGUAACACGUGGGCAACCUACCUUGUAGAUUGGGAUAACUCCGGGAAACCGGGGCUAAUACCGAAUAAUCCAUUUUGCUUCAUGGCGAGAUGUUGAAAGACGGUUUCGGCUGUCACUACAAGAUGGGCCCGCGGCGCAUUAGCUAGUUGGUAGGGUAAUGGCCUACCAAGGCGACGAUGCGUAGCCGACCUGAGAGGGUGAUCGGCCACACUGGGACUGAGACACGGCCCAGACUCCUACGGGAGGCAGCAGUAGGGAAUCUUCCACAAUGGACGAAAGUCUGAUGGAGCAACGCCGCGUGAGUGAAGAAGGUUUUCGGAUCGUAAAACUCUGUUGUAAGGGAAGAACACGUACGAGAGUAACUGCUCGUACCUUGACGGUACCUUAUUAGAAAGCCACGGCUAACUACGUG